GGUUAAAAAGCUCGUAGUUGGAUCUCGGCAAGUAGAGGGCGGUAUGCUUCGUAGCAUUACUGCCCUAUUACUUGUAGUUUUGCCAGAGGUUCCUGGGUGCUCUUAAUCGAGUGUCUAGGGAUGCUGGCAGGUUUACUUUGAAAAAAUUAGAGUGCUCAAAGCAGGCUAUUACGCUUGAAUAUUCGUGCAUGGAAUAAUAGAAUAGGAAGUUGUUUCUAUUUUGUUGGUUUUCGGAAAUCGACUUAAUGAUUAAUAGGGACAGUCGGGGGCAUUUGUAUUCAAACGACAGAGGUGAAAUUCUUGGACCGUUUGAAGACAAACUACUGCGAAAGCAUUUGCCAAGAAUGUUUUCAUUAAUCAAGAACGAAAGUUAGAGGUUCGAAGGCGAUUAGAUACCGCCCUAGUUCUAACCAUAAACGAUGCCAGCUAGCGAUCUGAGGACGUUUUUUUUGUAGACUCCUCAGGAAGCUUCCGGGAAACCAAAGCGUGUGGGUUCCGGGGGAAGUAUGGUUGCAAAGCUGAAACUUAAAGGAAUUGACGGAAGGGCACCACCAGGAGUGGAGCCUGCGGCUUAAUUUGACUCAACACGGGAAAUCUCACCAGGCCCGGACACUGGAAGGAUUGACAGAUUGAGAGCUCUUUCUCGA
rnacentral:rRNA from 1 species